rnacentral:tRNA from 2 species
GCGCCAGUGAUCUAGUGGCUAUGAUAGGGCCUUGCCAAGGCUCUCACCCGAGUUCGAAUCUCGGCUGGCGCA